UCUAAAUCUGGUAACUUUUAGCGUUACUUUCAAAACGCCGUAACGUAUACUUCAAAAGAUACGCCUCUAUUUUUUAAAAGUUACAACCCAAAUCCGCUGCCCUAUAUGUGACAUGCAGGGUUACAGUUCGGAAAUAUUGGUGACGCGGACAAAGUAACCGAUAGAUUUCCUGUCCCCGUAAUUUAGAAGUAACGGCGAUGUAACUUCUAAGAUUUCUCUCGCCCCUCGGCAUCACGCCAUCGCCGGUUAGCGCCCCACUGGUCUCACGUGCGUCCCCCUCUCCCUCGUUUUGUCCCUGUCGGUGGCCCUCUGGACCCCGCGUCCGAACGGCGAGCCGGUUGGAGUGAAGUUGUUUGCGAAUACUUGACCAGUAAUCACGUGCUAACAAGUGGUUAGUUCGACGGCGACCGUGUUCGUUUUCCUUCAUGACAGCCAGAAGAGGAAGCCAUGCCGUUGGAAAAUCAUGAUCUCCUGGGCGUUCGGCGUGGGAAUUGCAAGGAGAACGACUGCUUUUGUCCAAACUACGUUACCGAGGUUGACGAUAGCGGAAAGCCCAAACGGGUACUCUGCUGUUAUUGUGAUCAUGCGCCGGGAAAGCACGCUGCACUCUCCGAAAUUGCCACAAGUCAAGUUCAGGAAGGCACGUCACCCACCAUGCCCUUGAACAAUGAAGUCGACGCAAUGGCUGAUCACUGGGAGGACAUUGAUCCCCUUGAUGACGAGCAUAGUGAUGAGGCUGAAUC